UACGGAGGGUGCGAGCGUUGUCCGGAAUCACUGGGCGUAAAGGGCGCGUAGGCGGUUCGUUAAGUUGCUGGUGACAUCCCGGGGCUCAACUCCGGGGCUGCCGGCAAGACUGGCAGGCUAGAGCACGGUAGAGGCGGAUGGAAUGCCCGGUGUAGCGGUGGAAUGCGUAGAGAUCGGGAAGAAUCCCAGUGGCGAAGGCGUUCUGCUGGGCCGUUGCUGACGCUGAGGCGCGACAGCGUGGGGAGCAAACAGG
rnacentral:rRNA from 1 species